rnacentral:rRNA from 1 species
UACAGAGGAGCCAAGCGUUGUCCGGAUUUACUGGGCGUAAAGAGCGCGCAGGCGGUCGUUCAAGUCGCGUGUGAAAGCCCCCGGCUCAACUGGGGAGGGUCACGCGAUACUGAUCGACUCGAAGGCAGGAGAGGGUAGUGGAAUUCCCGGUGUAGUGGUGAAAUGCGUAGAUAUCGGGAGGAACACCAGUGGCGAAGGCGACUACCUGGCCUGUUCUUGACGCUGAGGCGCGAAAGCUAGGGGAGCAAACGGG